UAAGUGAAUGACUCCACUUAUAUGACUGUUUAAUGUUCAAAUAUUUUUAUAAAUAGUAAGGUUUCUCCAAUUUUCACAUCUAUCCAUUUUUCUCGACAGCUGUUGUGAUCGAUUUGAAAAUGUUGGCGAAGAUUUUGUUUGUUCUUGGUUUACUUGCCGUAAGUAAAGGUCAACUCGAUACUUGUCCAGAUGGAUCAGCAAUCGCCCUUUGUUUCAGUAAUCCAUGUUUAACGGCUACUUGCUCUGCUUUUCCAGAUGCAAAAUGUGUGACUAACUUUUGUGGAAGCGAGGCCUGUAAGGCACAGUUCUUUGUGGACGACGAGCUAGUUAAAUGUUAGCAUUAAUACAUUGUGACUCGAUAACGAUUAAUUUAUCAGGAUUAAAAGAAUAUUCAUUUCUAAUCAUUUUUUCGUCUAAAUAAAGUAAAUCCCCUUUUAUAAA